UUGUUUCCAGCUUUUUUUUUCGAAAUUAAUAUUAUUUAUUUUUAUUGAUGAUUAAAUUAUUUAUUUAUAUUCGAAAAUUAUGUUUUAUUUAUUUGUUUCCACUAAUUUUAUGACUCUCCUAAAAAUAAUCCUAUUUUUGUUUCCACAUAUUAUUUUUUUAUUGUUUUGAAAAUAUUUUUUUCUUCUGAAAUUUUGUAUUUUUAUAUUCGAAAAUUAUGUUAGUUUUUUCUGAAGAUUUAUUUUUUUAUUUUUUUCAAAAAUUAUGUUAUUUUUAUUUGUUUCCACUAAUUUGGAUAUUCUUCUAAAAAUAAUCCUAGAUUUGUUUUCACUAAUUUAGAUAUUCUCAUUCUACACAAAAUAAUCCUAGAUUUGUUUCCACUAAUUUAGAGAUUCUCCUAAAAUAAUACAAGAUUUUUUUCCACGCAUAUUAUUUUUUUUUCUGAAAAUUCUAUUAUUUAUAUUUUUCGAUAAUGUUUUUAUUCAUUUGUUUACACAUAUUUAAGGAUUAUCCUAAAAAUAAUUGUAGAUUUGAUUCCUCACGUAUUAUUUUUCCUUGGAAAUUUUAUUUUUAUUUUUUCAAAAAUUAUGAUUUUUUUCCACUAAUAAGUAAGUAAUAUUAAUACUUGUAAAUAAUUAAGUAAUCUUUUUUUUUUACUUAAAUUUAAAAUUCUUACGUAGGUUUAUUAGAUUAAAGAGCUUGAAUGCACACCAGAUGUUGACAAUCUUAAGGAACCAAAAAAAAAAUCAUAUAGUAAAAGAAGGAAAUUAAACAAACCAAAAAACAAAUUAAGAGGAGUAUAACUUAAGGGAAAAAAGAUGCACAAUUAAAAAUUAAAAAAAAUAAAAAAAAAAAAUACACCCCUUGAAGGGGCAUGGAGGAUUCAAACCCACAACCUCCAUUACAUAUGAAUGAUACUUUGCCACCUUACCCGGUACUGGCAACUACAUUAAUUCAUGGUUGGAAAUUAACUUAUGUGUUGCUGUCGCGUAAUUAUUGAAAAAAAAAAAAACACCCCCCUCUUUAAGGAGCAUG
rnacentral:lncRNA from 1 species